rnacentral:rRNA from 1 species
UACGUAGGGGGCUAGUGUUGUCCGGAAUCAUUGGGCGUAAAGCGCGUGUAGGCGGUCCGGUAAGUCCGCUGUGAAAGUCGGGGGCUCAACCCUCGGAUGCCGGUGGAUACUGUCGGGCUUGAGUACGGAAGAGGCGAGUGGAAUUCCUGGUGUAGCGGUGAAAUGCGCAGAUAUCAGGAGGAACACCAAUUGCGAAGGCAGCUCGCUGGGACGUUACUGACGCUGAGACGCGAAAGCGUGGGGAGCGAACAGG